GACGAACGCUGGCGGCGCGCUUAACACAUGCAGGUCGAACGGAAAGGCCUGCUUUCCCUUGUGGAUUGCGGGUACUCGAGUGGCGAACGGGUGAGUAACACGUGAGUGAUCUGUCCCCAACUUGGGUAUAAGCCUGGGAAACUGGGUCUAAUUCCCGAUAGGACUGCAGGGUGGUGCCUGUGGUGGAAAACGAUUUUCUAGUGGUUGGGGAUGAGCUCGCGGCCUAUCAGCUUGUUGGUGGGGUAAUGGCCUACCAAGGCGGCGACGGGUAGCCGGCCUGAGAGGGUGGACGGCCACAUUGGGACUGAGAUACGGCCCAGACUCCUACGGGAGGCAGCAGUGGGGAAUAUUGCACAAUGGGCGGAAGCCUGAUGCAGCGACGCCGCGUGGGGGAUGACGGCCUUCGGGUUGUAAACUCCUUUCGACCGCGAGGAAGCCACCUGGUUGGAAGGGUGGUGACGGUAGUGGUAGAAGAAGCACCGGCUAACUACGUG
rnacentral:rRNA from 1 species